GCCGCCCGCGCCCUCACCUGGGGAUCUGACCACUCUCCGGCCGCCCGGCGCCCUGGGCAUUGCCGACCUGCUUUGUCUGCUCCUUAACUUGGAGAUCGGGCCCCGCCAGGCUGCAGGAUCUCGCUGGGGGCGCGAGGGCGCGAGGGGAGCGAGGGGCGCGGGAGCCGGGUCCUACCCUAGAUGCGCUCCCAGGAGCAGUGUAUUUCCUGGCUCUGACCCCUGGAAAGACCUAGAAACUUUGAUGGAUCCCGCGGCAAGGAGCACCACAAGUGUUCAGACUGCGUUCUCUCCUGGAAGAAAGGGCCACCUUCAGGUCCAGGGAAAACGUGUAGAGAUAAGCCUGGAGCAUCUUCCUUGCCUCGAAGCAAGGAACCGGCCAGGCACUGCUGAGUCAUAGCAGGAUGGGAGAACGCCCCUCAGGCUGCCUCCACCGGGCAGAGACGGUGCCAGGGAAACGUCGAUCAGAACAGAACUGGAUGUGGAACAGAAGUGGAUGGAAACACAUCAGGUGGUAAAAAUCCAUGGACUCCAGAUAAUAAAUGAGGGCGAAACGGCAGGAUUACAUCACCGUUCUGCAAACCUCGUCCGUGCUAACUAACAGGAGGGAUUCCUACCAAAUCACCGGCCUCUGGACUUGGCAGCCAGUCCCAGGAAAUCCAGCACAGACACUCGGACGAGUUAAAUGGUGCCAUGCGGAUGCAAUCAGAUCUGGUUCUCCCAUUCUCGGAACCCCAAAAGGGCUCAUUUCACUUUUUGUAAAAGCCUGUCUUGACCAUGUUCUGGCAGUGAUAAUGCCCUGUCACUGCUCUGACCUCCUGUCCUGGGGCUUGGGCUCACUCCUCCCCUGUCACUCUGGCUGUUGGCAGCUCUUCCCCACACAUGGACUCAUGUACGAGCCUACCUGAAACUGUCUCCCCUGGGACAGCCACACGGUUGACUCUCUCGAAGGCUGCAAGUCGGUCUCAUUUCUGUUGUCACAUUACAAACCACAAUGUAAAACAGCACCUGUUUCCUUUCCUCCCAGUCGAAUAGGCUGGUAGAUUGUGCUGUGUUCAGCUGGGUGGGUUUUUGUCAGUCCUGCCUGGUGUCACUCCCGUGCCAGCAGUCCCCUCGGGGCUCCAGCCUGAGAUGGGCUCAGUAACAGAGCUGGUCAGUAGGCUGUCAGCGAGCCAGCACAUCUCAGCCCUCCUCCAUGUGGUUUCUCCAGCUGGUCGGCUUCAGCUCAUUCUCACAGUGGGCUCAGGACUCUGACCACAGUGCUCUCAAGCCUUUGCCUGUAUGGAGUUUGCUGAUCUCCCCUGAGCUAAUGCAAAUCACACGGCCAAGCCCAGAUUCAAGAGUUUGACGCUAAAGAGUUGAUUGGCAGCUCUCUGUGUGUAUAUGUGUGUGUGUGCAUGCACGGUUGUGCAUGUGUGUGUGCCAAUAGUAUGGAUGUGUGUGUGUGUGUAGGUAAGACCGCUGUAAUUUUGUGUGUGUGUGUGCGCGUGUGUGCACGCUGGUGAAGGGACCUGCUGUCACUUGUGGACUUAGUUUGGGAUGAUCUGCUGGGGCCCAGUCAUAUUUGGAGGGACUCCCAGUAUUUGCCAGGGUUUUCUUGUGACUGGCACUAUCUCCAGAGAGGAAUUCUUGCACAUUCUGCCCUGGGGCAUCAGCCUGGCCUCCAGGGUCCUGGCACCCAGGGAGGAAAAUGGCCCACAAGGAGCGCUCACCAUUCAGAAUGUGGAUUUCCACACAUUCUAUGUGUUUUCAGUACGGGCUCUCCCAUUUCCUCCUCUCUCAGCACUGCCUGGCACCCCCAUCUGAACCCUCUUUGGCUCAAAUUCUCCAAGGUAACAUC